ACCUCGGUAUCGGUCUCGCUGGAAAACUUCGCACCCUGCGCUUCGAGUUGCGUGCGCAGGUCGCGGAAAUUCUCGAUGAUGCCGUUGUGAACCACGGCGACGUUGUCGGUCGGGUCGCAUGCGGAUGCGCGUUAUUCUCGGUCGGCUUGCCGUGCGUGGCCCAGCGCGUAUGUCCGAUGCCGAUGUGCCCCGCCAGUGGCGAGUUCUUCAGCACCGCUUCCAG
rnacentral:misc_RNA from 1 species